UACGUAGGGGGCAAGCGUUGUCCGGAUUUAUUGGGCGUAAAGAGCGUGUAGGCGGCUAGAUAGGUCCGUUGUGAAAACUCGAGGCUCAACCUCGAGACGUCGAUGGAAACCAUCUGGCUAGAGUCCGGAAGAGGAGAGUGGAAUUCCUGGUGUAGCGGUGAAAUGCGCAGAUAUCAGGAAGAACACCCGUGGCGAAGGCGGCUCUCUGGGACGUGACUGACGCUGAGGCGCGAAAGCGUGGGGAGCGAACAGG
rnacentral:rRNA from 1 species